rnacentral:misc_RNA from 1 species
AUAAGAGGGGGCUUGCUCCCGAUAGCAGUGGAUCAGUCACCAGAUGCAGUGACUGACACUCCGCAAUCGGGAGCAAGCCCCCUCCCAC